UAAGGGAUAUUGGUCAAUGGGGGAAACCCGUGAACCAGCAACGCCGCGUGAGGGAAGACGGUUUUCGGAUUGUAAACCUCUGUCCUCUGUGAAGAUGAUGACGGUAGCAGAGGAGGAAGCUCCGGCUAACUACGUGCC
rnacentral:rRNA from 1 species